ACGUAGGGGGCGAGCGUUGUCCGAAUUCACUGGGCGUAAAGCGCGCGUAGGCGGAUUUUUAAGUCAGAGGUGGAAUGCCGAGGCUCAACCUCGGAACUGCCUUUGAAACUGGGAGUCUUGAGGUAUGGAGAGGGAAGUGGAAUUCCAGGUGUAGCGGUGAAAUGCGUAGAUAUCUGGAGGAACACCCGUGGCGAAGGCGGCUUCCUGGCCAUAUCCUGACGCUGAGGUGCGAAAGCUAGGGGAGCGAACG
rnacentral:rRNA from 1 species